CCUACGGGGGGCAGCAGUGGGGAAUAUUGGACAAUGGGGGGAACCCUGAUCCAGCCAUGCCGCGUGUGUGAAGAAGGCCCUCGGGUUGUAAAGCACUUUCAGUGAGGAAGAACGCCUGGUGGUUAAUACCCAUCAGGAAAGACAUCACUCACAGAAGAAGCACCGGCUAACUCCGUGCCAGCAGCCGCGGUAAUACGGAGGGUGCGAGCGUUAAUCGGAAUUACUGGGCGUAAAGCGCGCGUAGGUGGCUUGAUAAGCCGGUUGUGAAAGCCCCGGGCUCAACCUGGGAACGGCAUCCGGAACUGUCAAGCUAGAGUGCAGGGGAGGAAGGUAGAAUUCCCGGUGUAGCGGUGAAAUGCGUAGAGAUCGGGAGGAAUACCAGUGGCGAAGGCGGCCUUCUGGACUGACACUGACACUGAGGUGCGAAAGCGUGGGUAGCAAACAGGAUUAGAUACCCCGGUAGUC
rnacentral:rRNA from 1 species